UACGGGGGGGGGCAAGCGUUGUUCGGAAUUACUGGGCGUAAAGGGUUCGUAGGUGGCUUGCUAAGUCAGACGUGAAAUCCCUCAGCUUAACUGGGGAACUGCGUCUGAGACUGGUGAGCUUGAGUGCAGGAGAGGAACGCGGAAUUCCAGGUGUAGCGGUGAAAUGCGUAGAUAUCUGGAGGAACACCGGUGGCGAAGGCGGCAUCCUGGACCGACACUGACGCUGAGGAGCGAAAGCCAGGGGAGCAAAGC
rnacentral:rRNA from 1 species